AAUUUUGGACAAUGGGGGAAACCCUGAUCCAGCCAUCCCGCGUGUAUGAUGAAGGCCUUCGGGUUGUAAAGCUCUUUCAGCGGGGGAGAUAAUGACGGUACCCGCAGAAGAAGCCCCGGCUAACUUCGUGCCAGCAGCCGCGGUAAUACGAAGGGGGCGAGCGUUGUCCGGAAUUACUGGGCGUAAAGGGCGCGUAGGCGGCCUGUUAAGUCAGAUGUGAAAACCCCGGGCUCAACCUGGGGACUGCAUUUGAAACUGAUGGGCUAGAGUGUCGGAGAGGGAAGCGGAAUUCCUAGUGUAGCGGUGAAAUGCGUAGAUAUUAGGAGGAACACCAGUGGCGAAGGCGGCUUUCUGGACUGUAACUGACACUGAGGCAUGAAAGCGUGGGUAGCAAACAGG
rnacentral:rRNA from 1 species